GCGCACGCUGGCGGCAGGCCUCACACAUGCCAGUCGAACGAACCUUUCGGGGUUAGUGGCGGACGGGUGAGUAACACGUGGGAACGUGCCUUUAGGUUCGGAAUAACUCAGGGAAACUUGUGCUAAUACCGAAUGUGCCCUUCGGGGGAAAGAUUUAUCGCCUUUAGAGCGGCCCGCGUCUGAUUAGCUAGUUGGUUGAGGUAAUGGCUCACCAAGGCGACGAUCAGUAGCUGGUCUGAGAGGAUGAUCAGCCACAUUGGGACUGAGACACGGCCCAAACUCCUACGGGAGGCAGCAGUGGGGAAUCUUGCGCAAUGGGCGAAAGCCUGACGCAGCCAUGCCGCGUGAAUGAUGAAGGUCUUAGGAUUGUAAAAUUCUUUCACCGGGGACGAUAAUGACGGUACCCGGAGAAGAAGCCCCGGCUAACUUCGUG
rnacentral:rRNA from 1 species